UACAACCUGGUAAUGAAUAAAGAGAUAACUCGUUGGUGGUGGUGGUCUUAUAUCAACCAGGAGCAAAGCAGAUGGGAGUCCUUUGUUCAUCCUAGCUUGAUGAUUGGCUUGAGAGCCAGAGCUGUAUUAUGCACAGUACACGUAA